rnacentral:rRNA from 1 species
UACGUAGGGUGCGAGCGUUGUCCGGAAUUAUUGGGCGUAAAGAGCUCGUAGGCGGUUUGUCACGUCUGCUGUGAAAUCCCGAGGCUCAACCUCGGGCCUGCAGUGGGUACGGGCAGACUGGAGUGCGGUAGGGGAGAAUGGAAUUCCUGGUGUAGUGGUGAAAUGCGUAGAUAUUGGGAGGAACACCUGCGGCGAAGGCGGCUACCUGGACAGAAACUGACGCUGAGGCGCGAAAGCUAGGGGAGCGAACGGG